UUCAAGAUUCCCUGGCUGGAAAAAAGUGGUGGCAGGCACUGUAUUUUACAUGUUGCUUGAUCCAAAAGGUGUGCUCUGAGAAUAUUUACCAGAUUAAGCCCCUCAGGGGAGAUAGGUAGAGGAACAGCUAGUUUCUGGAUCUCAAUUCAACUUUGGCACGAGACUAGCUGCCACCUACUCAACCCUCUCAAGACUGAGGCUUUUCUGGGCACGUGCAGCAUCAGCAGCAUAGGUCUUUCCCUGUAAGCUCAUUAAGGAACUUAAGAAUAUUAUUGACAAUGCACGUGCUAAAUCCGUUGGAUACUGUACUUACCAUCACCAAGACCAGUUUGAUGAGAAUAAUGAGGAAAUCCUAGCAUUUAUCCAUCAGAAGAGAGCCGUAUUCUGCAGCUGGCAAAAUGAACCCUCCAACCAGCAAAAACAAGAGGCUUACCAGUGGCUCAAACCUCUAUUUCAGAGAAGGCUACAGGACAUCAAGAACCAGCAUGGCAAUCAAAGGCCUUGGAGAUCCAAAUUUUCACUGACCAACAUGACAUGAGAAGCUCCUUUCAAGCAAGAAAAGCUAUCCAUGGGCCAUAUUCCAAUGGCCCAACCCCCUUGCAAUCCCAAGACAGCUCCAGUCUUCUCAUGGACAAUGCAACACUGGAAGGAACACUUCAAGACUACUCAACAGUGAAUCUUCCUUCCAAGUCCAUCCCUCAACACCCAGGAAUAGAACUUCUUGCUGAUCCCCCAUCCUUCAAGGAAGGCUGGCGAGCCAUUACUUAGACCGAGAACAAUAAGGCACCAGGUCCAGAUGGUAUCCGUGCAGAGGUCUUCAAAGCCUGGUGGAACAGCACUAAUGUGAACAUUUCGCCAGCUUCUCAUGAAAAUAUGGGUUAAUGAGGAAAUUCCACCUGACUUAAAGAAUGCCAAUGUUUUGCCCAUCUUCAAGAAAAAGGACAAGUCGGUGUGUGGGAACUGCCGAAGCAUUGACCUGCUCCCCAUUGCUGGGAAGAUUCUUACUCGCAUCCUUCUUAAUUACCUCCUCCCCCUUGCCAAAGAUGUCCUCCCAGAAUCCCACUGUGGCUUUAAACCAUUUCAGGGUAUCACCAACAUGAUUUUUGUUGCACAACAGAUUCAGGAGAAGUGUAGAGAGUAACACCAAGAGAUAUUUAUAGCAUUCAUUGACCUAACCAAGGCCUUUGACUCCAUCUAUUGUGAAGCCUUAUGGAAGGUACUGGUUAGAUUUCAUUGUCCACUGAAGUUCAUCAGUGUCCUCAGGCUACUCCAUGAUGGGAUGACCACCAUAGUCCUUUGCAAUGGAUCAGAGACAGAUGUAUUUACUAUUCAUAUUGGUGUCAAGCAGGGCUGCAUUAUUGCCCCAGCCCUUUUUUCCAUCUUCAUGUGAUUUUGACUGCCUUCCUCCUGGGACUGGAGUUAAAUAUUGAAUGGACAGUCAGCUUUUCAACCUGUGGGACCUUCGCAGUGAAACAAAAGUUAUCAAGUCUGGUAUCACCAACCUUCAGUACACUGAUGACUGUGUUAUACUUGAACACAGUGAGACCAAUCUGUAGUACACCUUUUCUCAGGUGCCUAUCAUAGCCUGGGACUUUCUCUAAACAUGGGGAAGACCAAGGUGCUUUAUCAGCUGGCCUCAGCACAAGCUUCUCCCCUCGCUCAAUAAAUUACUAUUGGUGGAGAGCCCCUGGAAACCAUGAAGCAUUUCCCAUACCUUGGCAGUCACCAUUCCCAGUCAGUCAGUCAGUCUAGAUGUAGAAAUCCAAUUUAGGGUUUGCCAUGACAACAUAUCCUUCAGAAAGCUGCUUCACCAUGUCUUUGCUGAUUAAGAUCUGUAGAAGGAAACUAAGAUCCUAGUCUAGAAUGCAGUGAUUUUCCCCAUACUCCUCUAUGAGUGUGAGACGUGAGUGGCAUAUCAAAGUCAUCUUAAGCACCUGAAAUGAUUCCAUUACUUUUGCUUCAGGAAGAUCCUUUGCAUUAGAUGGGAAGACCACUGCACCAAUGCUAGCAUCCUCUCUUUAACUAACAUAACCAGCACUGAGGCAAAGAUCAUGAAACAUCAACUCCACUGGUUUGGCCAGCGUGUGUGGGUGGCUGGCACUGACCUCCUGAUGCAAGUCUUCUUCUCUCAACUUAGUUAUGGUGAGAGGACCCACGGAAGACAGAGGAAGUGCUACAAGGACACCCUGAAAGCAUACCUUAAGAAGGGUGACAUCAACUCUGCAAAUUGGGAAGUGCUGGCUGGUAACACAUCUCAAUGGCGCUGUACCAUACAUUAAGCUACAGCCCACUUCAAAGAGAACUGUCUUGCUCAGGAGACAGUAAACAAUAGAGGUGGAAGGAAAGUGUAGAAAAUUGUGCACCCUCUCCCUCCCCAAGGUACUACUUGUCAUAUCUGUGGAAAAACUUGCAAAGCAUGGAUUGGAUUCCUCAGCCACCUUAAAACUCACCAGUAAGCUGCCCACCCCCGCAGACAUCAUCCUCAUAUUGAGGAAUAGCUGAUAAUGAUACCCAUAUACGCACCAGCUACUAACUUGUUUUUAAUAAAUCAAUCAUAUGGCGUUUGUUCUUGA